rnacentral:rRNA from 1 species
GUGGAAUGAGCGGCGGACGGGUGAGUAACACGUGGGCAACCUGCCUGUAAGACGGGGAUAACUUCGGGAAACCGGGGCUAAUACCGGGUAAUCUUUUGCACCGCAUGGUGCAAGGGUAAAAGAUGGUUUCGGCCAUCGCUUACAGAUGGGCCCGCGGUGUAUUAGCUAGUUGGUGAGGUAAUGGCUCACCAAGGCAACGAUACAUAGCCGACCUGAGAGGGUGAUCGGCCACACUGGGACUGAGACACGGCCCAGACUCCUACGGGAGGCAGCAGUAGGGAAUCUUCCGCAAUGGACGAAAGUCUGACGGAGCAACGCCGCGUGAGUGAUGAAGGUUUUCGGAUCGUAAAGCUCUGUUGCCGGAGAAGAACAGGUGCCAUAGGAAAUGAUGGUGCUUUGACGGUAUCCGGCCAGAAAGCCACGGCUAACUACGUGCCAGCAGCCGCGGUAAUACGUAGGUGGCAAGCGUUGUCCGGAAUUAUUGGGCGUAAAGCGCGCGCAGGCGGCUUCUUAAGUCUGAUGUGAAAGCCCCCAGCUCAACUGGGGAGGGUCAUUGGAAACUGGNAAGCUUGAGUACAGAAGAGGAGAGUAGAAUUCCACGUGUAGCGGUGAAAUGCGUAGAGAUGUGGAGGAAUACCAGUGGCGAAGGCGGNUCUCUGGUCUGUAACUGACGCUGAGGCGCGAAAGCGUGGGGAGCAAACAGGAUUAGAUACCCUGGUAGUCCACGCCCGUAAACGAUGAGUGCUAGGUGUUAGGGGGUCCAACCCUUAGUGCUGAAGUUAAACACAUUUAAGCACUC